CUCAAAGGAGACUGCCAGUGAUAAACUGGAGGAAGGUGGGGAUGACGUCAAGUCAUCAUGGCCCUUACGACCAGGGCUACACACGUGCUACAAUGGCGCAUACAAAGAGAAGCGACCUCGCGAGAGCAAGCGGACCUCAUAAAGUGCGUCGUAGUCCGGAUUGGAGUCUGCAACUCGACUCCAUGAAGUCGGAAUCGCUAGUAAUCGUGGAUCAGAAUGCCACGGUGAAUACGUUCCCGGGCCUUGUACACACCGCCCGUCACACCAUGGGAGUGGGUUGCAAAAGAAGUAGGUAGCUUAACCUUCGGGAGGGCGCUUACCACUUUGUGAUUCAUGACUGGGGUGAAGUCGUAACAAGGUAACCGUAGGGGAACC
rnacentral:rRNA from 1 species